CUCACCAAGGCGACGACGGGUAGCCGCCUGARAGGUGACCGGCCACACUGGGACUGAGACACGGCCCAGACUCCUACGGGAGGCAGCAGUNGGGAAUAUUGCACAAUGGGCGAAAGCCUGAUGCAGCGACGCCGCGUGAGGGAUGACGGCCUUCGGGUUGUAACCUCUUUCAGUAGGGAAGAAGCGAAAGUGACGGUACCUGCAGAAGAAGCACCGGCUAACUACGUGCCAGCAGCCGCGGUAAUACGUAGGGUGCGAGCGUUAUCCGGAAUUAUUGGGCGUAAAGAGCUCGUAGGCGGUUUGUCGCGUCUGUCGUGAAAGUCCGGGGCUUAACCCCGGAUCUGCGGUGGGUACGGGCAGACUAGAGUGCAGUAGGGGAGACUGGAAUUCCUGGUGUAGCGGUGGAAUGCGCAGAUAUCAGGAGGAACACCGAUGGCGAAGGCAGGUCUCUGGGCUGUAACUGACGCUGAGGAGCGAAAGCAUGGGGAGCGAACAGGAUUAGAUACCCUGGUAGUCCAUGCCGUAAACGUUGGGCACUAGGUGUGGGGACCAUUCCACGGUUUCCGCGCCGCAGCUAACGCAUUAAGUGCCCCGCCUGGGGAGUACGGCCGCAAGGCUAAAACUCAAAGGAAUUGACGGGGGCCCGCACAAGCGGCGGAGCAUGCGGAUUAAUUCGAUGCAACGCGAAGAACCUUACCAAGGCUUGACAUGUUUUCGACCGCCGUAGAGAUACGGUUUCCCCUUUGGGGCGGAUUCACAGGUGGUGCAUGGUUGUCGUCAGCUCGUGUCGUGAGAUGUUGGGUUAAGUCCCGCAACGAGCGCAACCCUCGUUCCAUGUUGCCAGCACGUAAUGGUGGGGACUCAUGGGAGACUGCCGGGGUCAACUCGGAGGAAGGUGGGGACGACGUCAAAUCAUCAUGCCCCUUAUGUCUUGGGCUUCACGCAUGCUACAAUGGCCGGUACAAUGGGUUGCGAUACUGUGAGGUGGAGCUAAUCCCAAAAAGCCGGUCUCAGUUCGGAUUGGGGUCUGCAACUCGACCCCAUGAAGUCGGAGUCGCUAGUAAUCGCAGAUCAGCAACGCUGCGGUGAAUACGUUCCCGGGCCUUGUACACACCGCCCGUCAAGUCACGAAAGUCGGUAACACCCGAAGCCGGUGGCCUAACCCUUGUGGGGGAGCCGUC
rnacentral:rRNA from 1 species